GCGCGAUGCCCUGAAGCGGUGGCGAGUGGCCGGUUAAAUCUGAGCGGGGGCCGGACUGGAUGCGUGCAGCUCCCGCCUGCACUCCCGGGUGACCAGGCAAGUGCUUGAGGAGCUCUGACAUUCCAGCCAGUAGAGGGCAGUGGUGCACACAUUGUAACCUCAUGCAAAGAAGACUAUGCAAAGAAGAAACCCUGUUGAGACAAUCUUAGCAUAACUCUGAUCAGGCAUUCAGUGGCAAGGAAUGAUUGCGCAGUCUAAGAAUGACAGAGUCAAGGAGGCCAGAGAGAUGGGAG